rnacentral:rRNA from 1 species
AUUGAACGCUGGCGGCAUGGCUAAAACAUGCAAGUCGAACGAUCCCUUCGGGGAGAGUGGCGAAAGGGCGAGGAAUAGAAUCGAAUGUACCCCAAGGUGGGGGAUAGCCUCUGGAAACGGAGGGUAAUACCCCAUGUGCUCUACGGAGGAAAGGUUUACCGCCUUGGGAGCAGCGAUUCUCCUAUCAGGUAGUUGGUGAGGUAACGGCUCACCAAGCCGAAGACGGGUAGCGGGUGUGAGAGCAUGACCCGCCGCAUCGGGACUGAGACACUGCCCGGACUCCUACGGGAGGCUGCAGUAACGAAUCUUCCGCAAUGGGCGAAAGCCUGACGGAGCAAUGCCGCGUGUGGGAUGAAGCAUCUUCGAUGUGUAAACCACUGUCAGGGUCUAGGAAUACUGACCAGACCCAAAGGAAGGGCGGCUAAUUCCGUG